AGUGCCUGUGCCAUCUCCUCCACCGUGACCUCCUGCCCUAUCGCGGCCCUGGCCUCCUGGGUCAUGGAGGGCAGGGUCGCUUUCUGUAGGAAUGUGUCUAUGCGAGUGCGUAGGGGCUCUGAAUCGGUUUGGGAGUUUCGGGUAUGGUUAUAUAGGUUGGUGUAGUAAUCCUGGAAAAUGCUACCUAUGCGAGUUGGGUCAUUGC